UAUGGAUGUCGCCAAGCUUUAGUUUUUCAAAAUCUUUGUACUCUUCACCUGUGGAAUAAUUUAUGUACAAGGACUGGAUUUAAAUUGUUGUGGACGAAUGAUGACUGGAUAAAUUCCUGCAAAAUAUCUAGUUGUUGGCAUAACCUGGUGACACGUUUGGCCAAGAGUGGAGCCAUUAUGGUCGUAGUAAAUUUAAAUGGUAAAUUAUGUAAGUGAAUAAUUUAUUAUAUAAUUGAUGACGGUGUUUGUUUACAAAGUAUGGACCGAAACAAUGUAUCGCAGCUGAUUGUGAGUAUGAAAGAGAGAAAAAGGCAAGUCUGCCUCUCUCUCAUGCGGAUCGACGUCUGGAACUGGUAUGGGAAAGAUUGAGACUCGAAAUAAUACAAUAUGCACCUGUUUAACUGUUCAAUUUAAAUAUGUUUAUGUUUAUUCAUAUAUAAUAAAAUAAUUAUAUUAUCAUCAUAAUUUAUGAUACAUAUUAUGUAUCAUAAAUGUAAAUGUUUUUCCUUUUCCAUAAUAAAUUCGUCACACAAUUAUAGUUCCAAUACCGCGCAAAAUACCCAGUGGGCUGAUGCUAGCUGUAAGUAGCUCAUAAGGGGAAAACCACUCGAGAUAAUUAAAAUCUGAUAAGUGCAUUGGAUUCUACGUGCGAUUUUACUUGGAUAUCACAAGUUCGUUUUUAACUGAU